GACGAACGCUGGCGGCGCGCCUAACACAUGCAAGUCGAGCGAAGCGGCGAACGGGUGAGUAACGCGUGAGGAACCUGCCUCUUACAACGGGAUAGCCUCGGGAAACCGGGAUUAAUACCGUAUAGUAAGAGAUGGCCUCGCGUCGGAUUAGUUAGUUGGUGGGGUAACGGCCUACCAAGACGACGAUCAGUAACCGGCCUGAGAUGGUGAACGGUCACAUUUGAACUGAGACACGGUCCAAACUCCUACGGGAGGCAGCAGUGGGGAAUCUUGCACAAUGGGGGCAACCCUGAUGCAGCGACGCCGCGUGAGCGAUGAAGGUUUUCUAAUCGUAAAGCUCUGUCCUAUGGGAAGCGGUACCAUAGGAGGAAGCCCCGGCUAACUACGUGCCAGCAGCCGCGGUAAUAC
rnacentral:rRNA from 1 species